rnacentral:rRNA from 1 species
UGCCAGCAGCCGCGGUAAUACGGGGGGUGCAAGCGUUAUUCGGAAUUACUGGGCGUAAAGAGCGCGUAGGCGGCUCUGUAAGUCGAAUGUGAAAGCCCGGGGCUCAACCCCGGAAGUGCAUUUGAAACUACAGGGCUUGAGUAUGGGAUAGGGAAGUGGAAUUCCUGGUGUAGAGGUGAAAUUCGUAGAUAUCGGAAGGAACACCAGUGGCGAAGGCGACUUCCUGGGCCAAUACUGACGCUGAGGUGCGAAAGCGUGGGGAGCAAACAGGAUUAGAUA